CUCACGAUUGCAGCUCUCUCUCCCUCACUCGCGCUCCUACUGUCUCUCACGAGGAUGGCAACUCUCUCUCUCUUCUCAAUCUCUCACUGCUGCCGAUCUCUCCACCCAAACUCCAUCUUCUCCCCUUCUCUCUCUCCACCAAACUAUCUCGCGCUCUCUCAAUCUCCCUCUUUGCUGCUGCAAACCUCUCUCAGACGAUUGGGGAACCCAAACUAUCUCGCCCCUCAUUCAAUCUCCCUGUUUGCUGCCCCAUUGCUGCUGCCCUAUCUCAAUCUCUCACGCUGCUGCUCCAUUGCUACUGCAAACCUUUCUCAGAUGAUUAGGGCACCCAAACUAUAUCGCCUCUCACUCAAUCUCCCUCUUUGCUGCCCCAUUGCUGCUGCCCUCUCUCAAUCUCUCCCUCUCGCUGUUGCCCCAUUGCUGCUGCAAAACUGCUCGAUUGGGGCAAUCGUCGGGAUUUGAGGUGCAUCCAAGGUUUGCUUCUGUAAAAUUGAUGCUGCUCCAUUGCUCGAUUGGGGUAAUCUUUGGGAUUUGAGGUGCAUCCAAGGUUUGCUGCUGCACCAUUUCUCGAUUGGGGCAAUCUUCGAGAUUUGAGGUGCAUCCAAGGUUCAGGGUCAAUUGAAAGAUUUAUAUGGACCCUACCUUAUCAGUUGGUGUGAUAUCUUCCCCGUGCCCAAUUGUAGACAACACAAAUGACACCAUUAAGACCAUGGAGCAGGUCCUUAUCUUAUAGAAAUGCGAGAUGGGGAACAUGACUCAUCAACCAAGGGCCUACAAAUAGAAAAACCAUAUAUGGGGAUGAAGUUUGGUUAUGAGAAUGAAGCAUAUGAGUAUUAUAAGGAGUAUGCAUUAGUCAAAGGUUUUGGCGUUCGUAAAGGGACUACCCUCAAUAAAGAUGGUCCAAUGAUUGAUAGAGAGCUUAAUUGUUUUAAGGAAGGGUUUCGCCGUGAGAAAGAUCGGGUAGGUGCAAAGGUACACUCUGAAUCAAGGUAUGGUUGUAUGGCUAGGAUGGGCCUAAGUAGAAAUGCAAAUAAUGAGUGGGUUGUUACUAGGACUGUUACGAAACACAAUCACGAUCUUUUGUCUUCAAGAAAAGCUUGUUUAAUUCGCUCACAUCGAACAGUGUCAGGCGCUACAAAGUUGAUGAUAGGUUCAAUGAGUUCGGCAUUGGUGAGGGCCAUAAAUAUUCAUGACAUUUUCAUAGAGCAAUCUGGAGGGAUUGAUAAUGUUUAUUGUACACAAAAAGACAUCCAAAAUGUAAUCGCCAACUCCAGAAGAAAGCUAAGAGGAGAAGAUGGAAGUUUGUUAUGCAAUGAUUUAUAAAAUGAAAGAAUUGAACCCAUCUUCUUUUUAUAGAGUGAAAUUAGAUAAUGUGAUUGACUUCACAUCCUGAGCAUCUUAUGGGUAGAUGCCUUUUCUUGCGUUUCGUACUAGUGCUUCUCUGAUGUGUAACUUUUGAUACCACAUACAAAACAAACACCUAUGGUAUGCCAUUUGCACUCAUUCUUGGUGUAAAUCACCAUCACAGUACAACUUUAUUUGGAUUUGCACUCAUUUUUUAAGAAAGUUGAAUCAUUUAUAUGGAUAUUUGAAAAUUGGUUAGAAGCUAUGGGGGGACAUCAGCUUGGAGUUAUUCUCGUUGAUCAAGACCAUACAAUUUCGAAUGCAAUGAGAUAAGUUUAGACCAAAGUAAGCAUUAUUAUUGCAAGUGGCAUAUAAUAUUAAAGAUUAAAGAAAAAGUGUGCCAUAUCUGCGUAUGCAUCCAAAUUUUUCAAAAAGCUUCAGGAGGUGUGUGGCUAGUGCAACAGUGGAAGAAUUUGAAUUGGGGUGGAAAGAUAUGAUUGAGAAUUAUGGGCUGGAAAGUAAUGAGUGACUUACUAGGCUCUAUAGUUGUCGCAUGCAAUGGGUCGAUGCAUACUUGAGUGACAUGUUUACAAUGGGUAUGACUUCCACUCAAAGGAGUGAAGGGAUGAAUAAACAUUUCGACACAUAUGUAGCCUCUUCAUCAUGCUUACGUAUAUUAUUAGAAGUGACUGCAAAGGUGCAAGAUAUGAAAGUGCGAAAAGAAAGGGAAAAUGGCUUAAGAGACAUUAAUACUACUCUAAUAUUAAGAACAACUUCUUUUAUUGAGGCCCAGGCAGCAAAGAUCUAUACUCAAAAGAUUAUGAAUCUAUUUGGGGAAGAGGUGGUGAUUGUAUUAAUUGGAUGAGCGAGGUAAUUGAGGACAAUAGAUUGCUUGCCACUUUUAAGGUAGCAACACCAAGAACCUUGUCGAAUUCAAUUCCAAUGACAAGAGCGUUUGUUGCAGAUGUCACUUAUAUGAGAGGAUGGGUCUUCUUUGUAGGCAUGUGUUGAAGGUUUUUAUGGUGAAUAAUAUAUUUGAAAUACCCCCACAAUAUAUAAUGAGACGUUGGAGAAAUGAUAUAGUGGCAAUCAAAUUCAAGAAACAACUCAACUACCAUGCUCCACUCGAUAUAACGAGGUCUAUCCGGCAACUUGAUACCUCGCCGAGCGUGCUUCAGAGAGUGCGGAGCUCCAUGAAUUUAUAAUGGCCAUAAUACGCAACAGAAUUUGUCAGGUUGAUAGCCAGUUUGGGCGUAAGGGAGGUCCACAAAAUGACGCCACAAUCAAUUGUAAUGCUGAAGAGAAUGGUAAUGUUGAAGCGAAUGCUAAUAUCGAUGAGAAUGCAGCUAGUUGUAGUGACACACCAAUUGAAAGUGACAAUUGCCAAAAUAUCCUUGAGCCUCCAUAAGCACGGACAAAGGGAAGACCUACAAUAAAAGAAAGAAAGCGCGAUCAGAAGGGUGGAAGCCAAAGGAUACCAAGAAGCUGAAAGAAAAUGCCAAAAAGUCGAAGGAAAAUACCAGGAAGUGUGCAAUUUGCAAGGGCAGUGGGCACGACAAAAGAAAUUGUCCAUCAUUCAUUCAUGCAAAGUUUGCUGACAAAAUGUGCCGAACGGUCUGCUAGGAAUGCCGAAGAAAACCAUUGAUCGCCGAAUGGGUGUGAGAACAAGGUUUUUGUUUCUUCUUCUGUUGACUAUCAUUUGGACCAAUGUGGAUGCUAGAAACUAUUUGACCCAUAAGGAUCUUGCAAAUUGGUGGAAAGCAAUAAAGUGAUCGUCAUUGAUGCAUACAAGAGCAGAUGGUUCUCAACCAUCUCAGGGAACACUAGGAAGAAAUUUGUUGCUGCAAACUCAAGAUGUCUAUUUUGGCUUUUUCAAUUUUCUGUUGCGGACUCAAGAUGUCUAUUUGGCUUUUUCAAUGUGCAGUUGCGGACUCAAGAUAUCGAUUUUGCCUUUUUUUGUUGUAUGCACUUUAUAAAUGAACAUUAUAGAAUACAUGUUCAUUGUGUGGGUACACGUUUCUGGAUAUGUCGGCAUCAUGGGCACCUAGAAAGGAAAGAAAUGAGGAUAUUACACUUGUCAUAUUCGGGAUCAAAUGUUUCCCUUCAAUGUGACUGUAAUUUCAGUAUUGCAAUGAAUCUUGUCUAUAACAUUGAUAUUCUCUCUUAUAACAAUCAAAUUUGUGCAA